AGUCACAAAGGUGGAUUCCUUAAUCGAGGAGCUUUCCUCAUUUCUACAUAGGUGGAGUUCUCGGGUUCUCCGUUGCUGCACUGAAACACAGAAACCGAAAAGUAACAGGGUUAGGGGUUAGG